rnacentral:tRNA from 1 species
AGCCCCGAAGUGUUAUCAUGUCAGGCUGCAAACCUGAAGACGGCUUCUGCCCGGGGCUU